rnacentral:lncRNA from 1 species
CCCAGACACCCAAGGUAGACGCAGCGCUGUAUUUGCUUGGACCUCACUAGACCGUACCUACGCCACCUUGGGUUCCACAGGGAUGUAAUCUCCACACAGUUGCCACCCGGAAGUGGUUGGCCUAACUUGCCUUGAACCUGAAGGAGCCAGAUAAGUGCUAUCCAUGAUGAGCAUGUCCUGUAGCUUCCCCUGCGCGCCCUGCUGCUGGUGGGAUGUGGCUUAUUUUAGGGCUCCAAAAUCAACAGUUGAGAUUUUGCCUCUCGCCUCUCCUCAGGAAACAAAAUUCUUCAUCCUCUCAGCCUGUGGGAGCCCAUUAAUGUAUCCACUGUGGGGGAAGCCUUCAUCUCCUCCCUACACACCAUGCCCGUCUUUUCGACACAACUUCUUACAACGGUACUGAUGACUGAUUAAUUGCAAGGAGUUUCAGGACCAGAAAGUGUUCAUUGCCAUCCUGAGAGGGCCACACGCUGAGUGCCCAGAAUAAUUAUGCUCCCUGAGAGUUUGGGCAGAUUUUCACUCAUGGAAUUGUUAGAGACUGAAAGUGGUGAAUUGCAGAAACUUAAUUCCAAGUGGUGAAUUUUUAAGGACUCUCACCUAAGUGAACACAAAUAAGUUUCACGGAGGAAGGAGGGUGCGUGUGAUAUGUCUCACUGGAUGCAUGCAAAUUUAUAUGCCAACAUGAAAAGAUGCAGGGAAUUUUUUGCCCAGGAAACAUCUGUAAUUUUCCACAGAGAGCAGGGAAACAGAGAAGGUGUCUCUCAUGUUAAAGGUCAACGAAUUCUAUCAUAUUAGCAGGUUUUCCCCAAUGUGACAUCUUAGAGAUUCAGUGACCUCAUUGCUUGUGUCCAUUGUGCACUUCUUGGUCCAAUGUCCGUGCACCUCAUCUCCUGAGCACCCUGCUUAUUGGUUACGCAUUUUCCUUUUUUGGGUAUUCAUGUUUUGGUUGAACUUCUAGGUGUAUGUCCAGGAACAAUGAGUCCCUGUGAACAACAAUAAAAAAUACUUGCACAAAAAUAUACACAGCAGCUUCAUUCACAUAUAUAUGUAUAAAAAUAGCUAUGAGGACACAUGAGGGUAGGAAAGACAACUGGAAGCAUCCUUGGAGCAGGGAGAUACAGAGAGGCAAAGCUAGAGAUGAGAUAGUAAUUUUUGAGCAAAGCCCAACAGGCAGUUAUAAGGUUGGGAAGCAUUCCCUGUUGUGCAGCUUUGAUUGAGCUGCUAUAAUUUCAUAUUCCCCUCCAUGGCUCACACUAGGAG